UUGAACGCUGGCGGCAUGCCUUACACAUGCAAGUCGAACGGUAACAGGUCUUCGGAUGCUGACGAGUGGCGAACGGGUGAGUAAUACAUCGGAACGUGCCCGAUCGUGGGGGAUAACGCAGCGAAAGCUGUGCUAAUACCGCAUACGAUCUACGGAUGAAAGCAGGGGACCGCAAGGCCUUGCGCGGACGGAGCGGCCGAUGGCAGAUUAGGUAGUUGGUGGGAUAAAAGCUUACCAAGCCGACGAUCUGUAGCUGGUCUGAGAGGACGACCAGCCACACUGGGACUGAGACACGGCCCAGACUCCUACGGGAGGCAGCAGUGGGGAAUUUUGGACAAUGGGGGAAACCCUGAUCCAGCCAUGCCGCGUGCAGGAUGAAGGCCUUCGGGUUGUAAACUGCUUUUGUACGGAACGAAACGGUCUGCCCUAAUACGGUGGGCUAAUGACGGUACCGUAAGAAUAAGCACCGGCUAACUACGU
rnacentral:rRNA from 1 species